CAGGCGUAAUAGGGCCCGUAAGUCUCGUUUACUUUCACUUUCGAUUUACCACUUCCGGGUACAUCGGCAGACUUAUUUACCGUUACGCAUAUAGGUAACCCGAAGAACUCGAGGGAUAUAGAAGUUAAAUUUGUUUCGGUCCUCUUCAGAUUUGAAGGAAUGGAUAGCACGGGUCAAAAAAUGCAGAUGUAUAGACAAGGAGGUAUAUGACAAGUAUAGAAUAUACAGUUGUUCAAUAUGGACCAUUAAUCAACUGUUUGCACUGCCUAUGAUCCUGAAAUAUCUAUACAUCAAAGAUAAAAAGGGAAAAGAUGAAGGAGCAUUUGUCCAUCAAGACCUUUAUUGCAACUGCCAUCUUCCAGUUCCUUAAUUUGAGAAUGAUAUCAGAGAACACACAGUUACAGUGAAAUAUUAGUUUAAUAUAAGCCACUGAGAAUAGUCAAAUGUACUUUUCUGAAGAAGAUGAAUGACAUCCAGCACAAAAAUCUUAAUGUAUAAAGAGUAUGAGUUUAUGGUGUUUGACACUAUGAUCUUGUUAACAUGUUAAUGUCACAAUGAUAGAAACAGAGUAAAAUAUCCACAUUUCAUUGCAGUUUUAAGUAUUAAAACUAGAUACUCUAGCUAUAUAUACCAAAGCUGAUAACACACCAGAGAUAAGGUUUUUUCAUGGAAUCACAGUAUAGUCAUAUGACAUUAUGGACAUUAAAUGACUAUGAAGUAAAGAUUAGCAAAAAUAUUAUAUAUCAUCUACUACUAAUAUUGUGAGGUAAUCAUUGAUAAGCUCACAAAUUUGCAAUCAAAGCUUUGAUAUCAAGCUGAACAUUUUUCAAUUAGAAUAUGAUUUAUAACUCUAUGAUAAUUUGUUCAUGUUAAUUUUCAAAGUCUUUACAUUUGUAAAAGGAAAUAUUCUUAUUCUUGUAUCAGUAGACAUUCACAGUGUAAAGUUACAUUGUCCAAAUAACUAAUAAUAAUUCCAAGUGCUUUCCUGAAGUUUUUCUUCCAUUGGAAAAUCAGUGUGAUAUAUAUGCUAAGCAGUGCACUAUAAAUUGUGUAAAAAUAAAAGUUUAUUAAACUUAUGAACUGUUUUUUGUUUCUACUAUUUGGCAUAUAUUUAUAGCAGUGCUUGAUCAUAAGAGUUCAUCUGCAAAAUAAGUGUCACUGUGUACUUUAAUUCUCUAACAGCAAUGGCUAGAUUGCUUGAAUAUGCAAGCAUUGACUAUAUUAAAAACUAUGCAUGUCAUUUGAAUUUUGUCUGUCCUGAAAUCGAAACAUACACUAUCUAAAUAAUAUUGAUGAAAAGUUCUUGACAGCUCUUCAAUGACUACAUUUACACAUAUGUACAUGGACAGAAGUUAAAAGCAUUGUGUGGUGUUUUUUUUUUUUUUUUUUUUUUUUUUUGAAACAUUGACAAUUUUGAAACAGUUCCAAUGGGUAUAUUAAUGUAUCAGUGAUGUAAUUGUUUUGUAACAAGUGCAAACCCUAAGUUUUGCAUGUAUUGUAUAGAUAAUUCACUUUUGGUCAAAUGUCAACAGGUUCAAUACAUUAUAAAACAGGUAAUUUGAAACCCAAAGAAGUAUAUGGUAUGUAAUAACUACCCCUCUGAUACUAAAAUCUUCAAGGAAUGCAGAAUUGCAAGUCUUCUCCAAUUAAGAGAGAGACUUGGGCUUACAAGGGCUAGCAAGCUAGUGUUUUGCUACAGAAUACUCAACACAGAUGAAUUGCAUUAAUAUUGUUUACUCUGGUAUUACUACCUGCCAUGUACAAUGCAAAUCAUGGCUUUUCUAAGAGCAGUGAAAGGCUAUAACUGGAAGGAAUUUUACACAUCUUGCCUCAGAAACAAGUUUUUCUUUGAGA